rnacentral:misc_RNA from 1 species
AAGUCGUAACAAGGUUUCCGUAGGUGAACCUGCGGAAGGAUCAUUAACACGUUAUCCACGUAUCAUCAACCGAGAACCGUUAUUCGCUCCCUCUGUGCAGAAUGAGCAGCAGCAAGAUAAAGUGAUUGGAAGGGUCUGCUAGCCUUAACCGGUGGGCGCCUGGCUUUAUUUGCUAUUUGUGCUGACGGGCUUGCUUUUUGGCAGGCUCCGAGUGCCCAUACUGUUGAAUCUGUCUCGUGGAGGCCCCGCUCGGCGCGCAACUCUCCUUCCAUGAAGUGCGCGUCGGGUAACUUAUUAACAAUUCUAACCCCUUUUUGCUAGUUGACUUUUAUAUGUUGUUCUUUGCCUCGGCAAGGUUCACACGUUUAAUUAUUUGAACGUUAAAAAUACAACUCUUAGCAAUGGAUAUCUAGGUUCUC